rnacentral:rRNA from 1 species
AUUGAACGCUGGCGGCAUGCCUUACACAUGCAAGUCGAACGGUAACAGGUCUUCGGAUGCUGACGAGUGGCGAACGGGUGAGUAAUACAUCGGAACGUGCCUAGUAGUGGGGGAUAACUACUCGAAAGAGUGGCUAAUACCGCAUGAGACCUACGGACGAAAGCAGGGGAUCGCAAGACCUGGUGCUACUAGAGCGGCCGAUGGCAGAUUAGGUAGUUGGUGGGAUAAAAGCUUACCAAGCCGACGAUCUGUAGCUGGUCUGAGAGGACGAUCAGCCACACUGGGACUGAGACACGGCCCAGACUCCUACGGGAGGCAGCAGUGGGGAAUUUUGGACAAUGGGCGCAAGCCUGAUCCAGCAAUGCCGCGUGCAGGAUGAAGGCCUUCGGGUUGUAAACUGCUUUUGUACGGAACGAAAAGCCCUGGGUUAAUACCCUGGGGUCAUGACGGUACCGUAAGAAUAAGCACCGGCUAACUACGUGCCAGCCGCCGCCGUAAAAC